GACGUAGGGGCCGAGCGUUGUCCGGAGUUACUGGGCGUAAAGGGCGCGUAGGCGGCGCAACAAGUCACUUGUGAAAUCUCCGGGCUUAACUCGGAACGGUCAAGUGAUACUGUUGUGCUAGAGUGCGGAAGGGGCAACUGGAAUUCUCGGUGUAGCGGUGAAAUGCGUAGAUAUCGAGAGGAACACCUGCGGCGAAGGCGGGUUGCUGGGCCGACACUGACGCUGAUGCGCGAAAGCCAGGGGAGCGAACGGG
rnacentral:rRNA from 1 species